rnacentral:rRNA from 1 species
GAUGAACGCUGGCGGCGUGCCUAAUACAUGCAAGUCGAGCGAACGGACGAGAAGCUUGCUUCUCUGAUGUUAGCGGCGGACGGGUGAGUAACACGUGGAUAACCUACCUAUAAGACUGGGAUAACUUCGGGAAACCGGAGCUAAUACCGGAUAAUAUUUUGAACCGCAUGGUUCAAAAGUGAAAGACGGUCUUGCUGUCACUUAUAGAUGGAUCCGCGCUGCAUUAGCUAGUUGGUAAGGUAACGGCUUACCAAGGCAACGAUGCAUAGCCGACCUGAGAGGGUGAUCGGCCACACUGGAACUGAGACACGGUCCAGACUCCUACGGGAGGCAGCAGUAGGGAAUCUUCCGCAAUGGGCGAAAGCCUGACGGAGCAACGCCGCGUGAGUGAUGAAGGUCUUCGGAUCGUAAAACUCUGUUAUUAGGGAAGAACAUAUGUGUAAGUAACUGUGCACAUCUUGACGGUACCUAAUCAGAAAGCCACGGCUAACUACGUGCCAGCAGCCGCGGUAAUACGUAGGUGGCAAGCGUUAUCCGGAAUUAUUGGGCGUAAAGCGCGCGUAGGCGGUUUUUUAAGUCUGAUGUGAAAGCCCACGGCUCAACCGUGGAGGGUCAUUGGAAACUGGAAAACUUGAGUGCAGAAGAGGAAAGUGGAAUUCCAUGUGUAGCGGUGAAAUGCGCAGAGAUAUGGAGGAACACCAGUGGCGAAGGCGACUUUCUGGUCUGUAACUGACGCUGAUGUGCGAAAGCGUGGGGAUCAAACAGGACUAGAUACCCUGGUAGUCCACGCCGUAAACGAUGAGUGCUAAGUGUUAGGGGGUUUCCGCCCCUUAGUGCUGCAGCUAACGCAUUAAGCACUCCGCCUGGGGAGUACGACCGCAAGGUUGAAACUCAAAGGAAUUGACGGGGACCCGCACAAGCGGUGGAGCAUGUGGUUUAAUUCGAAGCAACGCGAAGAACCUUACCAAAUCUUGACAUCCUUUGACAACUCUAGAGAUAGAGCCUUCCCCUUCGGGGGACAAAGUGACAGGUGGUGCAUGGUUGUCGUCAGCUCGUGUCGUGAGAUGUUGGGUUAAGUCCCGCAACGAGCGCAACCCUUAAGCUUAGUUGCCAUCAUUAAGUAGGGCACUCUAAGUUGACUGCCGGUGACAAACCGGAGGAAGGUGGGGAUGACGUCAAAUCAUCAUGCCCCUUAUGAUUUGGGCUACACACGUGCUACAAUGGACAAUACAAAGGGCAGCGAAACCGCGAGGUCAAGCAAAUCCCAUAAAGUUGUUCUCAGUUCGGAUUGUAGUCUGCAACUCGACUACAUGAAGCUGGAAUCGCUAGUAAUCGUAGAUCAGCAUGCUACGGUGAAUACGUUCCCGGGUCU